rnacentral:rRNA from 1 species
GGAGGAAAGCAGGGGAUCGCAAGACCUUGCGCUCAUUGAGCGGCCGAUGCCUGAUUAGUUAGUUGGUGAGGUAAAGGCUUACCAAGGCGACGAUCAGUAGCUGGUCUGAGAGGACGACCAGCCACACUGGGACUGAGACACGGCCCAGACUCCUACGGGAGGCAGCAGUGGGGAAUUUUGGACAAUGGGGGAAACCCUGAUCCAGCCAUGCCGCGUGAGUGAAGAAGGCCUUCGGGUUGUAAAGCUCUUUCAGCCGGAACGAAACGGUCACGGCUAAUACCUGUGACUACUGACGGUACCGGUAGAAGAAGCACCGGCUAACUACGUGCCAGCAGCCGCGGGGAUACGUAGGGUGCGAGCGUUAAUCGGAAUUACUGGGCGUAAAGCGUGCGCAGGCGGUUUUGUAA